AUGCAGCCUCAAAGCGUCUCCCAUUGUAAGCAUCCUGAAACUGGUCUGCAUCUGCAACAGAAGGUGCAAGACGAGCACCGUUUUCCAGCUGAGCAGUGUGUGGGCAAGAGCAGCUUGCUGUUACGGUUUGCAGACAACACCUUCUCAGGCAGCUACAUCGCCACAAUUGGAGAGGAUUUAAAGAUUCGGACUGUGGAGAUCAACAGGGAGAAGGUGAAGCUGCAGAUCUGGGACACGGAUGGACAGGAGCGCUUCCGGACCAUCACCUCCGCGUAUUAUCGGGGACCCACGGGGUCAUUGUGGUUUACAACGUCACUAGUGCUGAGUCCUUCGUCAAUGUCAAGGGGUGGCUUCAUGAAAUCAACCAGAACUGUGACGAUGUGUGCGGGAUAUUAGUGGGCAACAAGAAUGACGACCCUGAGCAGAAGGUGGUAGAGACAGAAGAUGCCUACAAAUUUGCUGGACAGAUGGGGAUCCAGCUCUUUGAGACCAGUGCCAAGGAGAACGUCAAUGUGGAAGAGAUGUUCAACUGUAUCACAGAGCUGGUUCUACGAGCAAAGAAAGACAACUUGGCGAAACAGCAGCAGCAGCAACAGAACGAUGUGGUGAAGCUCACCAAAAACAGUAAACGAAAGAAACGCUGCUGCUAAUGCCCCAGCCCACUGCAGAGACUGCACUGCGGAGACUGCACUGCAUCCUCCCCAGCCUGAGGCCUGGAGGCGCGGGGACAGUCUCAGUUUAAUGCCAUUAUUUAAAGAAUUC